AUUGCCUCAGUAACGGCGAGUGAAGCGGCAACAGCUCAAAUUUGAAAUCUGGUCGCCUGUGCGGCCCGAGUUGUAAUUUGAAGAGGAUGCUUUUGACAAUGUGCCUUCCGAGUUCCCUGGAAUGGGACGCCAUAGAGGGUGAGAGCCCCGUAUGGUAGGUUACUGCGUCUCUGUAAAGCUCCUUCGACGAGUCGAGUAGUUUGGGAAUGCUGCUCAAAAUGGGAGGUAAACCCCUUCUAAAGCUAAAUAUUGGCCAGAGACCGAUAGCGCACAAGUAGAGUGAUCGAAAGAUGAAAAGCACUUUGAAAAGAGAGUUAAACAGCACGUGAAAUUGUUGAAAGGGAAGCGUUUGCGACCAGACUUGUGCUCGUCGAAUCAGCCGUCGCUCGUCGGCGGUGCAUUUCGGCGGGCUCAGGCCAGCAUCAGUUCGCUGUAGGGGGAGAAAGGCGGAAGGAAUGUGGCUCUUCGGAGUGUUAUAGCCUACCGUAUAAUACCCCUCGGUGGACUGAGGACCGCGCAUCUGCAAGGAUGCU
rnacentral:rRNA from 1 species